GGGGCUGACGUGGCAUCGACGGUAAGAUGAAUCGAAAUGGAAGCAUGUCGAGCGUUGGGAAUUUGGCUCGUAAAUCUCAAUUCUCAGAUCAAAUAAGUGACAACGAAAAUUACGCGCUCGCUGCGUAAUUCCGUGACAAUCGGAAUUAACGCUUAACCCGCAGACAAAAGUCGCGGGCGGGCUGCCUCUCCGGGGAGCGCUGGCCAGCCGCACCCGGAUCAAGAGGUAUCACCGUAAAGCUGGUAUAGCUUAAGCAUUGCCUCGGUGCUUAAGUGAAAAUUUCAGAGGCUAGGAAACGGUGAAGGUUUUGCCCUUGACCAUGCUGUUUCCGAAACUUCAAACAAGAGCUAAGCAUGUAGAAACCAUUUCGGUUUCUUGUCCGGACCCGGGUUCGACUCCCGGCAGCUCCACCU
rnacentral:tmRNA from 1 species